AAACGAAUGGACAAGAACUGUCAUAUGUUAUCGAGAAUUGAAUAUGCUAUAAAAUUCCAACGUUCUUAGUGUUGAUUAUGCAUGAUGAUUAUGUUUUUGGUAUUGAUAUAUUCUUUUUAUCAUAAUGGUCUGGAUAGUGGGUCAUUCAUUUAUUAAUGUUUAUUUUGCGUUUCCAAUAUUUUUUAUUCUUUAUAUUUCAGCAACUCAUCAUUCAAUCUUUUUUUUUUUGCCUUUUAUUCUGCAGUAUUUGCCAAUUAUUUUGUCUUCCACAGGUAAAUCCCAAUACAAUCUAGAAACUCGCUAGUACAACAUAUCAGUUGUAAAAAAUAUAUGAUAUGUCCAUUAUCAUUUCUCCUGCUUUAGUGGACGUCCCUUCGAGCGCUCGCUUUUUCAUGAAUUAGAAACCUUUACGACGGAAUCGAAAACGGCGACGUCAUAAUACAGUUACGACACUAUGGCGGCACCGAGAGCGAUGCGUAUAAACAAUAGUGUGAUUUCCCUUUAAUAGGUUUACGUGUCUAUCCUAAAUUAUGGUUUAUAAGUGAAGUAGUUGUCUUUAGUUGAUGUCUGAAAUAUUUGCUUUCGUUUAUUACUGUGUACACAAAUCCGGCAAUCACGUCUCUUGUUUGAAUUGUUUUACACUUUUCAGAUUGUUGACAUUUACUUUACGAAUCACAUUUAUUUAUGAAGGCCGUAUGGUGACCAACAGCUGUUUUGCCACAUUUUUUUCAUUUUCAUAUCAACGACAAAUACCUAUCUAAUUGUUAAGAGUUUGACAAUGUUUGACUUAUACUGCAGGACACGAUGGAAAAUAAAAAAGACAAAACUACCCCACUUAAACUUACAAAUGUUUGUAUUGUCCUAUUACCACAGAGAGUUAUACAGUAUAAUAUUGUACAACGUAUGCAUUAUGUACACUCAACUACAGUUAACAACAGGAAAAAGGUCAUCGGAAUUUUUUUUUAUAGAAAAUGCAUCACGUAUGAAAUUAUUUAAUUUGAUGAAAUUUGAGUAAAAUUUACAUUUUUGUUUAAAAAUCGGCA
rnacentral:lncRNA from 1 species